rnacentral:rRNA from 1 species
UACGUAGGGGGCUAGCGUUGUCCGGAAUCAUUGGGCGUAAAGAGCGUGUAGGCGGCUCGGUAAGUCCGCUGUGAAAGUCGGGGGCUCAACCCUCGAAUGCCGGUGGAUACUGUCGAGCUAGAGUGCGGAAGAGGCGAGUGGAAUUCCUGGUGUAGCGGUGAAAUGCGCAGAUAUCAGGAGGAACACCGAUUGCGAAGGCAGCUCGCUGGAACGUUACUGACGCUGAGACGCGAAAGCGUGGGGAGCAAACAGG